AUUGAACGCUGGCGGCAUGCCUUACACAUGCAAGUCGAACGGUAACAGGUCUUCGGAUGCUGACGAGUGGCGAACGGGUGAGUAAUACAUCGGAACGUGCCUAGUAGUGGGGGAUAACUACUCGAAAGAGUGGCUAAUACCGCAUGAGAUCUACGGAUGAGAGCAGGGGAUCGCAAGACCUUGUGCUACUAGAGCGGCCGAUGGCAGAUUAGGUAGUUGGUGGGAUAAAAGCUUACCAAGCCGACGAUCUGUAGCUGGUCUGAGAGGACGAUCAGCCACACUGGGACUGAGAAGCGGCCCAGAGUCCUACGGGAGGCAGCAGUGGGGAAUUUUGGACAAUGGGCGCAAGCCUGAUCCAGCAAUGCCGCGUGCAGGAUGAAGGCCUUCGGGUUGUAAACUGCUUUUGUACGGAACGAAAAGCCCCGGGUUAAUACCCUGGGGUCAUGACGGUACCGUAAGAAUAAGCACCGGCUAACCACGUGCCAGCCGCCGCCGUAA
rnacentral:rRNA from 1 species